rnacentral:rRNA from 1 species
AUGUCUGCAGGACAGCACGAGAGCGACGACCAUGACGCCACUGCCGCCGCGGAGGAAGGAGGGACCCUCCCUCCCCCGACGAGGCAAGGACUGUGGGUCCUGUACCGGGGCUGCUGGCUGAAGCCCCAGACGGCGGAGAGCGUCGCGGUGGUCCAAGCCCAGUUCGAGCCGCGCCCCGACGACGUCUUCCUGGCCACCUACCCCAAGUGCGGCACCACAUGGCUCAAGGCCCUCGCCUUCGCCGUCACCAACCGCCUUCGCCACGGCCACGCCGUGGGCGACAGCGGCCACCCGCUGCUCACCAACCAUCCUCAGCACCUGGUGCCGUUCCUCGAGCUGCCCGACCGCCGGCUCCACCCUCUCGCGGACGACCUCGACGCGCUGGCCUCGCCGAGGCUCCUCGCCACCCACAUGCCGCUGUCGCUGCUGGCCGCGCGCGUGGGUGCCCUCGGCUGCCGGGUCGUGUACAUGUGCCGGGAGCCCAAGGACGUGCUCGUGUCCUACUGGCACUUCGCGAGCAAGGUGCACGCGGAUUUCUCCAUGGACAUGGCGUUCGAGCUGUUCUGCGACGGGGUCUCCUCGUACGGGCCUAUCUGGGACCACAACCUUGGGUACUGGAGGCAGAGCAUGACGGAGCCCCGCAGGAUUUUGUUCCUCAAGUACGAGGACAUGAUGGCCGACCCGACCAGCCAUGUCAAGAUGCUGGCAGAGUUCCUCCGUGUUCCAUUCUCCGACGACGAGGUGCGCCGCGGAGUCGUCGAGGAGGUCGUGGAUCUAUGUAGCUUCGACAAGCUCAAGAGCCUACCGGUCAACUCGUCGGGAGUGUCUGAUCGGUUCGUCGGGGUGCCCAUCCAGAACUCAUCUUACUUCAGGACCGGCAGAGUGGGGGACUGGGCGACUCACUUCACUCAAGAAAUGGCGGAGAAGCUAGAUGCCAUUGUUGAGGAGAAGUUUAGAGGAUCUGGUCUCGGAUUCUGA